rnacentral:rRNA from 1 species
GACGAACACUGUCGGCGUGCCUACUACAUGCAAGUAGAACGCAGUUGCGAACGGGUGAGUAACUCGUAUGUAACUGCCUCAUAGCGGGGGAUAACUAUUGGAAACGCUCGCUCAUACCGCAUACUGUGAGAUGGACCUGCGUUGUAUUAUCUAGUUGGUGAGGUAAAGGCUCACCAAGGCGAAGAUACAUACCCGACCUGAGAGGGUGAUGGGCCACACUGGGAGUGAGAGACUGACCAGAAUCCUACGGGAGGCAGCAAUAGGGAAUCUUCGGAAAUGGACGGAAGUCUGACCGAGCAACGCCGCGUGAGUGAAGAAGGUUUUCGGAUCGUAAAGCUCUGUGGUGAGAGAAGCGGGAACUAACCAGAAAGGGACGGCUAACUACGUGCCAGCAGCCGCGGUAAUUC